rnacentral:rRNA from 1 species
AAUUGACGGGGACCCGCACAAGCGGUGGAUGAUGUGGUUUAAUUCGAUGCAACGCGAAAAACCUUACCCACCUUUGACAUGUACGGAACUUGCCAGAGAUGGCUUGGUGCUCGAAAGAGAACCGUAACACAGGUGCUGCAUGGCUGUCGUCAGCUCGUGUCGUGAGAUGUUGGGUUAAGUCCCGCAACGAGCGCAACCCUUGCCAUUAGUUGCUACGAAAGGGCACUCUAAUGGGACUGCCGGUGACAAACCGGAGGAAGGUGGGGAUGACGUCAAGUCCUCAUGGCCCUUAUAGGUGGGGCUACACACGUCAUACAAUGGCUGGUACAGAGGGUUGCCAACCCGCGAGGGGGAGCCAAUCCCAUAAAGCCAGUCGUAGUCCGGAUCGCAGUCUGCAACUCGACUGCGUGAAGUCGGAAUCGCUAGUAAUCGCGGAUCAGAAUGUCGCGGUGAAUACGUUCCCGGGUCUUGUACACACCGCCCGUCACACCAUGGGAGCG